rnacentral:rRNA from 1 species
CAGCCGCCACGGUAAAACGGAGGGUGCAAGCGUUAAUCGGAAUUACUGGGCGUAAAGCGUGCGUAGGCGGUUCGUUAAGUCUGUUGUGAAAGCCCCGGGCUCAACCUGGGAAUGGCAAUGGAUACUGGCGAGCUAGAGUGUGUCAGAGGAUGGUGGAAUUCCCGGUGUAGCGGUGAAAUGCGUAGAGAUCGGGAGGAACAUCAGUGGCGAAGGCGGCCAUCUGGGACAACACUGACGCUGAGGCACGAAAGCGUGGGGAGCAAACAGGAUUAGAUACCCGCGUAGUCCCUGUCUCUUAUAC